rnacentral:rRNA from 1 species
UUCCGGUUGAUCCUGCCGGAGSCAUUGCUAUCGGAGUCCGAUUUAGCCAUGCUAGUCGCACGGGCUUAGACCCGUGGCAUAUAGCUCAGUAACACGUGGCCAAACUACCCUACAGACCGCGAUAACCUCGGGAAACUGAGGCCAAUAGCGGAUAUAACUCUCAUGCUGGAGCGCAGAGAGUUAGAAACGUUCCGGCGCUGUAGGAUGUGGCUGCGGCCGAUUAGGUAGAUGGUGGGGUAAUGGCCCACCAUGCCGAUAAUCGGUACGGGUUGUGAGAGCAAGAACCCGGAGACGGUAUCUGAGACAAGAUACCGGGCCCUACGGGGCGCAGCAGGCGCGAAACCUUUACACUGCACGACAGUGCGAUAGGGGGACUCCGAGUGCGADGGCAUAUAGCCCUCGCUUUUCUGUACCGUAAGGUGGUACAGGAACAAGGACUGGGCAAGACCGGUGCCAGCCGCCGCGGUAAUACCGGCAGUCCAAGUGAUGGCCGAUAUUAUUUGGCCUAAAGCGUCCGUAGCCGGCCGGACAAGUCCGUUGGGAAAUCGACGCGCUCAACGCGUCGGCGUCCAGCGGAAACUGUCCGGCUUGGGGCCCGAAGACCUGAGGGGUACGUCCGGGGUAGGAGUGAAAUCCUGUAAUCCUGGACGGACCACCAAUUGGGAAACACCUCAGGAAGACGGACCCGACGGCGAGGGACGAAAGCUAGGGUCUCGAACCGGAUUAGAUACCCGGUAGUCCUAGCUGUAAACGAUGCUCGCUAGGUGUGCCGUAGGUAACGAGCCUGCG